GAUGAACGCUGGCGGCGUGCCUAAUACAUGCAAGUCGAGCGAACAGACGAGGAGCUUGCUCCUCUGACGUUAGCGGCGGACGGGUAAGUAACACGUGGAUAACCUACCUAUAAGACUGGGAUAACUUCGGGAAACCGGAGCUAAUACCGGAUAAUAUAUUGAACCGCAUGGUUCAAUAGUGAAAGACGGUUUUGCUGUCACUUAUAGAUGGAUCCGCGCCGCAUUAGCUAGUUGGUAAGGUAACGGCUUACCAAGGCGACGAUGCGUAGCCGACCUGAGAGGGUGAUCGGCCACACUGGAACUGAGACACGGUCCAGACUCCUACGGGAGGCAGCAGUAGGGAAUCUUCCGCAAUGGGCGAAAGCCUGACGGAGCAACGCCGCGUGAGUGAUGAAGGUCUUCGGAUCGUAAAACUCUGUUAUUAGGGAAGAACAAAUGUGUAAGUAACUAUGCACGUCUUGACGGUACCUAAUCAGAAAGCCACGGCUAACUACGUG
rnacentral:rRNA from 1 species